rnacentral:lncRNA from 1 species
CGAUUCAAAGAGUCACAUUAUACAUGAUACGCACACGUUUCCACACCACCUGUAGUGUACUCGGCGCGUUUUUUUACCGUGGUUUCCCCUGUAGGCCUACUUCACUAACUGUUUUGACAAUUUUAGGAUAAUUUAAGGAAACAAUACCGGUCAAGUUCUAGAUAUUACCUCCCUAAUAGCACACGACGUCCUUUGGACGUCCAAAAUAGGUCCAUUUUUGGUCCUUACGUCCAUGGACUAUAAACGGACGUCCUUUGGACGUCCCAUGUUGGACGUCCUUCGGAAGGAAUAAAUAUGGACGUCCUUUGGACGUCCGACGUUGGACGUCCUUCGGACGGAAUAAAUAUGGACGUCCUUUGGACGUCCGACGUUGAACGUCCUUUGGACCUCCAUACUGGACGAAAUACGGACGUUUUAUGAACGCUUAUAUAUUUUAUAUUGGACACAUUAUUACGGGAUCAAAUAGCAAAAUAAUUCAAUAAAAUAUUAACUUACGCGUUAACUUUACGUUAAUGAAAUACAGUCAAACCUGUCAGUAACGGCCACUAAAAUGAAAGAACUAUUGGCCGAUAUAGAAAGGUGGCCGUUAUUGCCAGUUUUUGUAGUCUAGAUAUACAGUAAAACUUGUGUUACUGGCCACCUGAUAAAAUCGGCCACCUGUACUAACUGCCGGUUUAAAUAUUCCCCAAACCAAUUAUAUCUGGACUACAAAAACUGGCAAUACCGGUCACCUUUCUAUAUCGGCCAAUAGCUUUUUCAUUUUUAGUGGCCGUUACUGACAGGUUUUACUGUAAUUGGUUUGGGGAAUUUUUAAACUGACCGUUAGUACAGGUGGCCGGUGUUUGCAGGGGGCCGGUAACACAGGUUUUACUGUAGUUUAAAUCGAAAAGAUUAAAUCUUAAUUCAAAAUUGUAUAUACAAUUAUUACAAUUAUAAACAAACUAUAUAGUUUAAUAUCCAAAACAUGUUUUUGAUUUUAUGUAAUGUAAUGAAAAUCUUAUUUGUAAAUUAUUGGUUACAAUGUUUAACAAUAGGAAAUAUUCAAGAAUAAAUAAAAUAAAAGUUUAAUCCUAACAACACAAAACAUUCCAGGAAUAUAGGUACUACCGUUCUAUUCCGUGAACAUCUAUCUGAUUAAAUUAUAUUAUGGGUGGAAAGUUACCACAAGAUAUUCUAUGAACAUAGUACAAUGUCUUCCUGGAGGGGUAAAAUUUUCCAUUACAAGAGGCCAUUUACUGUUCAAUUUGCGUUCAUUUUCAAAUUUGCCGCGCGAGUAUCUAUGUAGCGUCGCGUGGUCAUUGGUCAUCACAUUUCAUUUUCAUAAGAUAAAAGAUAACCUAAAAAUUUAGUAAAAAUUUUGAUUGGAAAAAAAUGCAUCGAUAAGGGGGUGUGGGAAAUGGAAAUUAGUGGCUUUUCUGCUGUACUGUCUGCUAGUCAAAUCACACAACACUUUUUUCUAUGCUGCUAGUUUUUGCUCUGGGCUCUGGCUGGAUCUCUUGUUUAAACAAUUUUAAUCAGCUGAAAGUGGCCUACAAAAAAAAACCAAGAAGGAAAUAUAUAGCCUUGUGGCUAUGAAAGGCAAAAGAGAGAUAUAAAAAGUGUAUUGGCUAGUUGGAAGAAAGUCCACAUUGUCCAUGCAUAAUAAGUUAUUACUUUAUCAACAAAUAUCAAGAAGAUAGCAGGGUCACGAGCAACAACUUCAUAAGUUCAAGAAUAUCGAGGAAAUCCAGCUCCUCGAUACUACUGGGCAAACUAGAAGAUUGAAGAGGACAAAGCCUUUUGAACUAGUUUGAGUGAUAGGUGAUAGUGAAAAACGGAGCAUAGUGCUUGUGUGCUGUGCCUGUGUAUGUUAGAAUAGUGCACGAUCUUGUUAGAUUAGAUAAGAGACGCUAUGGGGUAAGCUCUUCAUUUUAAGAAACAGUAGUAAUUUAGGUUAAAUUAAAAUUGCUCAUUGGUCAGUUAUGACCAGAUUGUUUUUUUAUGUUUGGCAAAAAGGACUUAAGUCAGAAUUGCACAUUGAUAAUGUUUUGAUGAUUUCUGGACCAGAAAAAAACUGUUGUAGAUGUAAACUGUAUGUACAGUAGAAUCUACUACAGUACUGUAGAAAUCAUCAAAACAUUAUCGAUGUGCAAUUCUGACUUAAGCCCUUUUUCCCAAACAUCAGAGAAUUGUAAUGUACAAUAAUUCUCCUAUCUGCUUUUUCAUGAAUUUUGUAGGAGAUGAAAAACCAUUUUUAGGAUCAUCUGCUUUCACAUGUAAAUUUUGACAUGUUUUGUAGUAAAUAGAUAGUUGAAUUUACUACAAAACAUGUCAAAAAAUAUAUGAAAACAGGAGGUGACUAUAAAAAAAGUUUUUAGUCUCUCUUACAAAACUCAUGAAAAAACAAAUCGGAGGUAUGUCACAUCAGUGACUAUAUCCAGGGAAUGUCUAAAAAAUAUACUUUGAUGUCCCAAGAACCAAAUAUAACCUACAGUCCAUCUAAUUUACUUACUGUUGCACGUCAUUAUCUACGCCAGAGAUCUAAGUUGACAUAGUUGCCAAAGUAUAAAAAGAUCCUGAAUCCAUUUUAAAUCAAAUAUAUCACAUAAUUAUUGUAAACGUGGAUUAUACAACAAAACAAAUUAAUAUUCAAUGUAAAUAAGUAAAAACUUAAGAAAUAGAGAACAAGAAUUAAGUUAUAAUCUUUUAAGAUUUGCAGUGCAAGAGUUUUUGCACUGCAUUGUUAAUAAUUAAAAAACGGCUCCGAACUCUUGGCAAACAGCUGGUAGGUUUCUUUGUAUAAGUUUGUCUACAAUAACAACUAAAAAAGUUGUCAGAUACCUCGAUUAUUCCAAGUCGUUAUAAAAUUAGGUGAAAUUUAUAUUUUUAUAGUAGAGGAUCUUUUUAUAGUAAAGUAAAUAAUAAAAACAGUAAAUAUAAUAAAUAAAACAGAUACUUAUAGUAAAGAAUAUAAACAAAUAUGAAGUGUCAUCACCGUAACUGUCAAAUAAAUGUUACCAAUUUAUUCUAAAAUGUCACCUUCGUUCGAUUACAGUUACAGUGUGAUCCGAACAAAUCUGCUUCAUAAAAACGCUUUAUAAUCCAUUUAUACAAAUUAAAUGAAACAUAUUAUUGUGUAUUUCUUUAGGUUAACAUUAAUAGAAAUCUUCAAAUAUUAUUUCUACGCGUAUAUAAUAAAAUAUGUCUAGUGGCUGUAAUUCCAUUGUACUCGGCAAAGUGAUUCUAAAAAAGAACACACCUACCGCCUAAAUAUUUCAGUUAAAAUAAAUAACAGUUAGUAAAUUAGACGAAGUAUGUAGAUAUAUACAGGGUGUAACAAAAAUACAGGUCAUAAAUUUAAUCACAUAUUCUGGGACCAAAAAUAGUUUGAUUGGACCUAACUUACCUUAGUACAAAUGUGCACACAAGAAAAGUUACAGCCCUUUGAAGUUAUAUAUAUAUAAUAGCACUAAGGGCCUUAGAGGCCCAUGGCUUGAAAAGUUUGUUUUUUUCUUCAUUUUCACGUUUCUUUAUGUACUGAGAUCUUCUCUGGCUUGAUAUGUGAUUUUUCUCCAUUCCUUCCUGUUAUUCAUUUUUCUUUUCUGACCCUGUAGCACCAUUCUUUCCAAAUCUUUUUCGACCUCUUGCUUCCAUCUAUUUUUCGGCCUUCCUCUUCUCUUUCUUGAAGCUGUAGUGUAGUUUAGUACCAUUUUUGGAGUCCUCGUGUUUGGCAUCCUUUCAAUGUGACCUCGCCAUCUAAGUCUCUGUGCCUUUAUCACUCAUUUGAAGUUACAAGAUGAAGUGAUUUUUUCCAAUAUAUCGAAAACUAUUAGAGAUUUUUUAUUGAAAAUGGACAUGUGGCAUUAUUAUGGCAGCAGUAUCUUACGAAAAAACUAUAGUAAAAUUUGGACACCCCAUAAAAAUAUUUUGGGGGUUUUGUUCCUUUAAACCCCCCCAAACUUUUGUGCACGUUUCAAUUUAAUUAUUAUUGUAGUACCAUUUAAACACAACGUUUUAAAAACUUUUUUGCCUCUUAUUGCUUUUUCGAAAAGUCAAUUUUUAUCGAAAUAUUUUGAAUAUUUGUCAAAUCCACCACAUAUUUGUAUAUGGUUAAGUACAAUUAUGGAGACUUGGUAAUAAUAUGCAGACUUAUUUAUGCUUUACAUUUUUAGGUAUAUUUUGAACCAUAUUAAAAAAGAAGCCAGAUCUCGAUAAAAUGUGCCUUAUCGAAAAAAUACAAAGAGGCAAAAAAGUUUUAAAAACAUUCUGUUUAACUAAUGGUACCUCAGUAAUAGUUUAGUUUAAUUGGAACGUACACAAACAUUUGGGGGGUUUAAAGGAACAAAACCCCCAUAAAAUUUUUAUGUAGACAUGUUAAAAAAGAAGUCGCAACUCGAUAAAAACUGCCUUAUCUGAAAAAUACUAAGAAACAAAAAUAUUGAAUUUAACUAAUGGUACCACAAUAAUAAAAUUGAAUUGGAACGUACACAAAAGUUUGGGAGGAUCUAAGGGAUCAAGACCCCCAUAAAAAUUUUAUGGGGUG